UUAGUAGAGACCUGUUAUUUCGAAGUAGAACAGGAUUUAUGAUAGGGGCUAUAUCUAUAUGCCCAGCCAAAAUAGCAAGUAAGACUCCUCUCUAUGGCGUAGAGUAUUUUGUGAAUUAAAGACAAAUUUGUUAGACGAGCCUCCAAACUCAUCCACGGCUGUGGGGGCACCGUUACAUUGCCCUUUGAGAUGCGUGGCGACACCGAACAGAACUUUACAAAUAAGCAUGUCGAUUCCAGCAGAAACCAGCUGGACCCAAAGGAAACACCGGUGGAUUCUCAAUGUAAACUUGAGCCAAAGAAUGACUUGGAGUCGAAAAUCUACAUUAAAAGAUGGACUGGCCCGGAUUGCGCUUGGAGUUGGGUAAUAGCUGCCGCGUGCUCAUUUUUAAAUUUCUUCACGUUCGCGUUAUUACGUUCGGGUUCCGUACUUUUUAUGAACAGCUUAGAGUACUACAAAACCUCACGGGCAUCAGCCUCGUGGCCACCAUCACUAAUUAUCGCUGUCGCGAACCUUUCUGGUGUCGGGACAGGAUAUCUAACUAAACUCUGGGGUCCGCGUCGAGUUGCCCUUAUUGGAUCAGUCCUCUCCUCGUGUUCGAUUAUGGCCUGCUACUUUGCGACGGACAUCACUCGACUCAUAAUUUUCUGCGGAAUUUUUCAUGGCCUCGGUGUGGGCUUGAACGUCCCAGCAAUUGCAGUCUGUCUAAAUCUUUGGUUUCGUGAUCGAAAGGUGACCGCGAGUGGUAUUAUCUAUACGGGUGCGGCACUUGGGUCGUUCGUAUAUCCCAUCUUCUUUGAAUGGCUGAUUGACGCUGUUGGCUUUCGCGGGUCAUUUCUGAUCUUCGGAGCCUUGAUGCUCCAUAACCUGCCAGCAGCGCUUUUCAUUCGCAGUCCGCCCUGGCCUCCUAUUGACUCACGUGCACCGUCCAGGCAGUCUUCCCGGAGGCCCUCUACCGCCAUACCUGAAACAGGUACUAAUCCAUUGGAAGGAGAAGGCAAAGACACAGACCCCGCCGUUGAUGCGGUACCUCCAAUGCCUGUACUCCGUCGUAAAUCGUUAGUAGCUUGCUCUCUUUCCGAGAGCUCGUUUGAUAGUGCCAAAAGCAACGAGGAAACUACUGAACAAAAGGGGUGUCAAAAGAUUCGCACGAUAGGGCAGCAUAAUCACAAAGUUGAACCAGUUCUCGAGGAACUGUACGGUGGUAAAUACAAUUUGACGGACGGCAGCAAGGAACGGUAUAACGAAUUAAAAGAGAAAGGCCAAAAUCAUGGAAAAAUUGGCGCUGAACAGAUUAACCACACAUCAAAUUCUCAUCGUCAGGACUUCAACUGCUGCCCUCAGCAAGGAGAAUCAGCUUCACGCUCUUCUAUGCACACCGCAGCACGGCUUAAACUGAGGCGAUCUUCAUCAGCGAUAUCGACCAAUAUUUCACUGUACUCGCCCGCCGUUCCUGUUUCAGUAACAGCUGAGAAAGAUUUCGAGAUCGAACAGGCUGGGCUAACCUUCGAAGAGCCGAAGCCUGGUCGUGUAAGUCCCCUAAUCGUACUCGUCGGUAUCACCUACGUUCUUCUAAUUAACUGCAACAGUGCCUUUCAAACGAUACUCCUCGAUUUCGCAGCCGACAAGGGCGUAGAAAUUCAUCACUCGGUAUAUUUACUAUCGGGAUUUGCGGUGUUCGACAUUGCUGGAAGACUGGCGGUAGGAAUAAUCUCUGAUAUGGGACUGAUGUCUAGGUCAUCGUUGAUCGGCAGUGCAGUUCUCCUUUUCAGUGUUGCCAUGAACCUCUUGCCCUUCGUCAGCGGAUUUAUAAUGCUCCUUUCGUUAACAGCACUCGUCGGAUUCACAUUGGGUACAUCAGUGGUUCUUAUAACCGUACUCGUUGGCGACUAUGUGGGGAAUCUCGCGCAGGUUCCACUGGCGGUCGGAUGGAUGGCCUUCUUCUCAGGCAUUACCGGAUUAACACGACCCCUAAUCAUCGCUUACGGUACUAGUUGACAUCGCAACGACGGCAAGCCACUUGCCAUUGGCGCAGUCCACAAAAAUUCAAUAACGGAUUGGUACGUGUUCUCGCCUUCGGUCGUGUCCGGCGACGUCAAGUUCAUCACAUCGAUGAAUCGAUCACCUGUUUUCAAUCGGCUAGUUAUGCCUAUGCCGCUGCUACCGGUGUUGUGCAUUUUUUGCCACCAAAGGCAGUCGCUGCCGUUGUUACAACUGUCAGCUGGUUGCUUUUGCCGUUGUUACUACGAACGAAAGGGAAAGCAGCGAUAAAAUCAACAUUUCCCCAAGUUGACUUGGAGUGAUAAUGCCUCUUUUCGAAGAAUAGAAACAUGAAGCGGACAAACAGAAGUUCACCGAUUUAACGACACAAAUGAAAUUCGCGUACUGACGGAAUGGCUGUUUUAGGGCAAACAAUUGCAAACGAUACGAUUCGUGACGCCACUCACGCUUGUGGUGGUGUCGCUCGUUCGCAUUUACGACGGUGCUUGGAAACGGUGACGGAGGGUCUGAGAAGCUGUAAGAGGCAAAGUGGAGAAGCUGCAGAAUGAAAUGGAAAAGGUGAAACGUCAAUGCAGAGGAAAGGGCAGGAGAAAACGGAGGCGAACAAAAGCAAUGAGAACGGAGGAAGGAGGGAUCGACUACCGCUUAGACCCAUUUGCACUGUUCCCUCCUUCGUCAAAUAACGACACACAAGCGAACUUCGGAGACAGCGUACACAGGAAUUCAUAGAACGCUUGGAAAAACUACUAAUUAGGUGCGACAUGAACGUGCACAAACGGUGCGCGGUCAUCGACACCGGGCAAACGUCAGCUGACGUGCGUAAAAUCAGUAGCACUUUACUAGUUACGCGUGCUGUGACGCGAAAUUGCGAAGUGAAUGAACAACAUGAUUCGGGCUGGCUUUCCCUCUUCUUCCUAUAAAAUCAUCACAUUCGGAACGCUUUGGCCUGCUACCACAUAAAGUUUAAAGAGAACUGAAAACGUUAACGUAAGACGAAAAAACUUAAUAUCCCGUAAGCAGUCAGGUAUAAAAAAAAGAUUAGGUUUUUAUCAUCUAAACAAGAUGACACAUGGCAGGUUGACGAAAAUGGGACGCUUCGCCGAGUACAUACAUAGUGAGUGAUUGAUUUUGUUUCCAAUAAAUAUGCGACGAAGAAGCUGUCUUAGUAGGCAUAUAUAUACAAUAAUUAGCUUAUAGUACGUGUCCGCUUGAGAGACAUGUCAGGAUCGGCUCGAAUAGUUGACGAAAAAUUAAUAUAACCAAUUUACAUGCUACCCAUGUGCAAGUAAACACUUGCCGGCCUCACAUAUGUUUGUUAUUUUCAGUUAUAUAUAUAUAUAUAUAUAACGUUUGCUUCAUUCUAUUUUCACUAAAACCAGAAAGGCGUGGGUAUGAAUCGGUCUCGUCGAGCGCCAAACACGAAUUAAGGGUCACUUCGUCAUUGGAACAAAUAGAUGACAAGUAUCCCCGUGCUUUUUGUCCACCUAUUUUUCCUCCUAUGUAACUUUCGUUUGUUUUUUUUCUCAUUGUUUUUAUCGACUUAGUUAUUGUUUAUUGAUUGGUUAUAUCAACGGCAAGCAAUAUGACCAGAUUUAUUACGCGCAUAAACAGCAGCAAUAGACUUGAAUUUAUAUACACUCAGGUCUGACAUUGUGUACGUAUUUUAUACAACACAAUUGGUUGUUGUUGUUGUAAUAGAAAUUUGUGGGCAUCGAGACGAAAUUGCCCCGCUCCUUAGGACCUAUAUUCGGGCAGAUAACUUGACACUUCCUUGCAGAUACAGCAAUAACUUUCUUACUUUUUUUCUGUUAGAGAGGUUUCUAUGCCACGAAAAAUAUUUUAGCCUCGAAGUUGGCAUACGUAUCUGCAUUUUACUGCUGUCAGAUUUUCUCAUUAUCUUAUCAUAGGUUGCAUACGUUUGGAAAUUGUGAUUGUUGCGUAGAUCAGGAUCAUGUCUUCGAAAGUUCGGUAACAUCUGCUUAUAUGUGACUAUCUUCAUGAUAGUGCAGUGGUAACUGACUUGACCGUAAGAUGAAACGGGAACGACUCGAACCAACAACUUAACCAUAUUAUUACAAACCGAAAUCAAUACAUUUUUAGCGAGCGUAAACGUGAGAGCAGUGCUAUUGCUGAUUAUUCUAAGGGAGACAAUGUUUGCUUAAGUGGUGGCCAAAUUAGCGUAGUUCAGCAGUUAGGCUUAACAUACCUAUAUGCUUUUGCUAAAGAUCCCAUUAGUUGCUUUGAGCCAUUGAGACGUGUUGCCUUUGACUAUCAAUGGCCAGUUUGGCAAGCAUUUCGCAUUUGUCCAUUUGUAAAACGACGCAAUUUGUAAUGAACAGGUCGGUAAAUCAGGCAGUCUACGCUGCACUUCUCGCGAACAGCGCGGUCACAAAGAGCGAUCGCUUGAACGUUUCGUUGGAGCUUCGACGGUCGUUAUUUUUUUUACAAGCGGAAAUAUGAUUCGAAGGACAAACAGUUUGCGAAUAUCGCUCGCCUCCGACUGAUCCAGACUCCGCCGACAUUGAUCUGAAGGCUCGAUCUUGAUACAAGACAUCUUUAAAGUUCUCGAUAGCGCACUGAUACGAGAAGCAGCUUCCUCAGUCACAGCUGCCAUAGACAAGCUAAUCAAUCGUAUUUAGCGGGCUUAUUUAUAGAUGGCGUGUGGAGCAGCAGUCCUUGUCUUAUCUUUAUUCUUAUAUCUUAUAUACAUAUGUCUUAUAUUACAAGAAUAUCUUGUGAAGCCAAGAUACUCUCGAGCAUCGUUUCCAUCCGCUCGAUCCUCUUGUUUUUGCAACUGGAAUAUAAUUAGUCAAAAUAACCCCACUCAACAAGUGGCAGCUACACUGUUAUUCUGUUGUUCUACUUAAAAGUGUUUUAACUUUUCCUAUACG